rnacentral:misc_RNA from 1 species
CAAAAGGAGUAUUCACGUACUCUUCAACCCUUUGUAAACGUACCAUUGUCUGUUGCUUCGGCGGGAGGCCCCUGGGAGAGGGGCCCCGGGGCCCGGUCCUGAGCCGGGCUCCCGCCGGAGGAGCGCAAACCAAACUAUUGUUGUAUCUCAGUGGCACAUCCGAGUCAAAAUAUAAAAACAAGUUA